UUUUUCCCUGAAAGAAAAUGGCACACAGAUCAUACAACUUCACAGACUUUCUCCAAAGCUUCAAUGUAUGUUCUUCUGUCCAGACUCCAGAGUCUCACUAAUUGCUUAUCUACAUGAUGAAAUGCACAAAUGCGCCAUGCUUUCUGUUUGAAGUCUCCACGUGUUUUAAGCCGUGGACUUCAAUGGAGUCAUCAGUGUAUUGAACCAACAGAUGCCUUGAAUUGAGCUUACAAUUUGCACCUGGAUUAUUGGUGGGUCUGACAACAACAAGCAGAACACGACGCCUGGGGGCUCUUUGGAAAUCUGCCAUGAAGUAUGCCAUACGUAUCUUCCUGUUUCACUCUGCUUUUGUCAGAAUUUCUUUCUUUUAAAAAGAAAAAGGUUCUGUGUUUAAAGCUGGCAGAUGGUUGAAAACCGUCCUUUUCUUUCAAGAGCCUCAAAAAGUUACCUUCACAGGGGCUUUGUACUGAAGUUGAAAAGCCAGACACGGAAUGCCUUGGGUGAUGACUAGGAUCCAUUUGGCCUCUCAAGCUUUAUCUGUUUUUUCACCUGCCACAUACCGUUCCACAUUCACACAUGCAUGUACAUUGGGUGGCUUUGGUCUUCUUCCACUUCAUCAGUCCAUCACACCAUGAUCCCUACCUCUUUUUGUAAUUUUUUGCAAUUAUUCCUUUAAGGAAAUGUCGGGAAAUCCCUGAGGUUAUAUUUAAUGGGUUGGAUCCAGGCUCUGCCUUCUGCAAGAAGAAAGGUCCGUCCAAGAGAGAAAAGGCUGUACUUGAGGAAGGUCUCUCCUGCCCAUUUUUGGAAGCCUACCUUGGAAGCCUACCUUCCCCCGCCAUGCCACAGGUCUUCUUGGUGUGGCAUUUUCAGGGUGGAGGGACUACUGUGGGAAGGAAGAGGCCGGGGGUGUACACGUUUGCCUAUGCGGUUGAUCCAGCAUACAUCAAGGUCCAACCCUAUUUGCUCAGUGGGCUUUGUUUCACACUGCAAAAUUUUGAGCAGCCGCAAAACAGCCAGGACUUGGCCAGAAUGAAAUUCUAGUGCCAUAGCAAUGUAAAUCUCUUGUGACCUCUGGGGUAGAAAUAGCAGAACGAUUGUCAAAGUUGUGUGAAUGGAAAAAGGCCAUCUGCUCCUCUUUCCACACUGAAGCCCACAAUCUCCUUCAACAAGAUGCUAGCUUUUUGUACACAACAGCAUGUACAGACCCAGACUGAACAUUUGUGGCACUCAGAAGAGCUUUUGCAAAGCGCUUCCCAGCUUUUCCACAUGGGCCAUCACUGGUUUAAUUACUUAAAAGAAGCAAAACCACACAUGCACACACUUUUGCUAUCCAAACUGGCAUUUUAUAUUUUCAAAGCUAAGCUCAGGCUGGCUGCUAUUUCAAAUGUUUCACGGUCGAUCAUAUUUCAUGUUCCACUGGCAGUCACCUCAGAGGCUGGCUGAUAUUUCUAAUUAACUAGGCAUUAAUUGCUUGGAAAGCUUCCUGCUCUCCUAGUAACAGACAUUUCAGUAGCUGCUUUGGUUCUGGACAAGAACCUGAGACAAGCUAGCCUACAAGCCUUAUAGGUGUCCUAUUAUUCUGUGCUCUUUGGGAUAGUCUGUUCUCUUCUAAGUCUUUAAUCAUGUGGAAGGGGAAUGUUUCCCAAGGAGUUUGCAAUGCACAUCCCACUUGUGGGAAAUGGAAAACCAGUGAAGAUAACUUAUUAAGUUUAGGCUAAUCCACUUUCUCCUAUAUCCAUAAAUUGCUAAACAUUUAUUACUUCUUAAAGAUAGCGUAGCAGGGAUUAGCAACUAGCCAAUGGAUAACAGUGCCCUGAUCCUGCUUAUAAAAACAAAGAGCAGCAGCAUCUUUAGACCUUAUUUGGAUCGGAGAAGCAGGAAAGGAUAUGGGGGAGUUCUUAAUACUUUUUCCCAGUUGCCGCUUCUCCAUUCCAGAUCACAGACCUGAACACGCAUAACAAGCUGCUUUUCCUUUGCAGAGUUCCAUGUGCAUGUUUGCCUGAGAAAAAUUUGGAGCUCCUCAGGGAAUAGCAACUAGGUGGGGAAAGGGGCUAAACUGUACAUGUACAGACAGAGCUGCUUCUCCAUUUCAAAUUCUUAGAGAAAGAGGGAAUGAAGAUGCUGCAGACGGACUCUCCUCUCCCACCGGACAUCCGCCACCUAUGUUGUGUGAGGGUGUGUGCACUGUGAUGCCUGUUGCUGUUAUUGGUCAGGCGCCUAGAAAGGAUUUGUAUCCUGAAAUGUGAGGUAUAAAUAAUUCACAAAUUCUUCCUCCAAGAACAGUCAUCUUUUCUUUAAUUAAAAGACAAGCAUCAGGAAUUUCAUACCUAUUUGCCUAUAAACCUUCGUAAGGUAUGAAUGAGCGCUGCUUCACAAAAACGCCUGCUAAGCAGGAGCUCAUACAGAAGCAAAAUUGAGCAAAAACUGUCACAUUAAAAGGGGGAAGAGACACAAAGCUAUGUGCCAAUUGCUGCAAGAAUAUCCAUCAUGUCCCUGAUUCCCACAUUUAGAAAUAUUACUAUACAGGGGGAUUCAAGCCAGUUUCUUUCCCAAUGCAUUUGGAACAAAGUUUUGCUACAGUUUUAUUGUACCCUUUCUACAGGGAGCUCAGGACAAUGCAUACAAUUCUCUCUUCAUGUCCAGAUCCAGAAAGCACAGCACAUGGCUUCCAAACAAACAAAGAUAUUAAAUCAACUUUAAAACAUGGCUUGAUACUCGCACCUACUUACCUCAGUGAAAACUGCUAACUAGAAUAAUUAUAUAGUUCCUAACUAUCUUUUUACUUGCAAAUCAGCACUGGCUAUACCAGAAUGUAUAGGUGGAGGAGUGACUCCCCCACGACUCCCCCAUGGUAGGGGAGUCACUCCCCCACCUAAUCCUCACUCCCCACUUCAAGUGGGCUAAAAAUUCAAAACAAAAAUGUCCACUGGAACCAGUCAAAUCUCUGCUUCUCUUUUUAGCCCCUGCAUGAUGGAGGAAAGUGGCUGGGUGGGAAGGUGGAAACCUCCCUUAACAGCAUGUGUCAGUCAUGAUCUGGACUGGGAGAUGGUGUGCAUAUUUGAAAACUGGGGAAAAACCCUGCAUAUUUAAUGUAGAAUCUAAUUUAGUCUGUAAGUGCUGGAUUUGGAUGUAAUAGCAAACUAGUUAAUGGUGACUUCACAGCUUGUUUUUCUGCUCAUGCAGAGCAAGGAGUGAAGUAGCUGUGUAGAGGUGCAAGAUGCUUCUUGAGCCAAGAGGCAGUUGUGUGAAUGUGACCUGCAUGUCAUGAAGAAGAGUGAAAUCCACCUAGCGCCACAGCUCCUAAAAGGCUUCUGUGCCUUUAAUAGCAGUAAUUGGCAGAGAGUCAGCACGAGACCAGUUCCUUUGAUAGCUGUGCCAGCAGCCAAAGGUCUUCCAGCAAUGCAUACAUGGAAAGACUUUUGGCAUUUCAGCUUAAUUUAUACGUGAAUAUUUAAACUCUGGAGGUAGGCUUUCAAAAAACAAACAGCAGCUCAGGGGCACCUGACUUCCAAAGAAAUGAAGGGCAGGUCAGCCUGCUAUUGCAAAAUACAUUUCCAGGAUGUGCUUAUCUGUUUCAUAAUAAGGUACCUUAAUAUGAAACGAGAUAAGAAUCAUUGUAACUGUAUUUGUGAAAGAAUAGUUCCAGGCUUUCAGCCAAAUUGCUCUGGUUAGGAUCAGAUUCAUGGGUAAAUAGGAAAUAUAUUUGCAGCACAUUUUUAAAGCUUUACUCUAGAAUCUCUCAAAUGUCUGGUGGUUGAGCCACACUUUUUCCCUUACUUGAAUUUACUAUUGACAGCUUGCAGCAGCAUUUAGAAAUAUGCACUGUGAAGUUGUCUCCACCCUCCACAUUUAGGUAUGAGUUGCUGAUUUGGGCAUGCCCCCCACAUUUCUGAGUGGAAAGAAGCAAGCCUGGAACUGUAUCUCAUUCAGAGUUGCAAUUGGCACAUUCUUGGCUUUAGGAACAAUUGAAUGAUCCAAUCAUACCUGGUGCAGAAAAAAGCCUAAUUAAACAGCACUGGGCAGGCUAAUUAUAGGAGGUAAAGUCAGAGCCAUGAAACAAUUAGUUCCAUGGCUGGCAUUCCUCAGCAGAGUUUGGGAAUUAAGAAUGUAAGACCCAACAAGGUUCUCUAGUCCAGCUUCCACACUCAACCAGAUACUCACACACAAUGCCCACAAGUAGAAUAUAAAACAAAACCUGCUUUUCAAGCAUGCCACCUUUGAUACUAGCAGCCAUGAUAGCUGCUCUCUCCAUUUGUCCAAACCCCCUUAAAACCCACCAAAACUAGUGGGUUUUGCAGUAGUUGUUUUUUCCAUAGGUUAAUUGUGUGCUGUGUGAAGAAGCACCUCUUUUUGUCCAUCUGUGAUUCCAUAUCAUUGGUCAAACAGGGUUUAGAAUUUUAAAAAGUUAUUCUCCUGUGCAUUGUCCAAAUUGCACAAGCCUUUGAUGCCUGCCAUUAAAGAACUAUAGUUUGCAGCAUCUGAAAUGAUUGAGGAACUGGGCAUAGUGUCCUAAGUAAGAAGCCGGAUUAAUAACAUGUUGUCACCAAAAUCCCCCAAAUUCUGUUAUGAAAGUCUUAUGGACCUGUCUGUAUUUUCACUAAUGUGAGCUCUACAGUGGUUGACUAGCCAAAAAUGACUUGUUCCUGUCAUUCAUGGAACUGCUUGUUUUCUUUUGCAUUCUGACAAUUUAAGAGCAAGUCACCUUUCCGGUCCAAGCACAAAUUGCAAUUAAAAAACAAAGAUGGCGCUAAAGGAUGACUGAGCACUGUGACUAUCUGGAGCUUGUGGAUUGGCAGACUAUACCAAACUUGUCAGUCAGCCUCAGACAAUUUCCUUUGAAAGGAAGAAACACAGGAUGAUUAUUCAGCUGCCGACAAAGAUUCCAAAACAGUUUCUGGAGCAUUAAUAUAACAACGGGACUUGCAUCUGAUUCAGUCUACUUCCAUACUGAGGAAAUUAGCAAACUCCCUCAUGUUCCUAUUCUUUUUGGAUUAUCAAAUCAUCCUUCUCCUUCUCCCUACAUUGCAUUUAUAUUCCGCCUUCUUUCUCCUCUUGUGGAGAACCCAAGGGAGUUUACAGAGCUCCAUCUGCACAACCACAACCCUGUGACAUAGUUCACACUGAGAAUGAAUGAUGGGCCCAAAGUUACCCAGUGAGUUCAUGACCAAGUGGGGACUAGAACCCGGAUCUCCCAGGACCACAGUCCAACACUAUAACACCACCAACACUGGCUCUAAGUAUUUCUAGAUAAGGCUCACCAUGCCUCACUCACUAUAGUUAGUGAUACUUUAGGUGAUGCCAUAACACCUUUACUUUCCAAGCAUUCUUGAGCAGUUCUUUAACAGGGAAAUCUAGCACUUUGGGAAAUGGGGGAAUGGCCAGCGAAGUUGCACCAGUCCUCUACAGCCUAGUUUAUGUAGCAAAAUGUUAAGAAAGGCAGAGAAAGAACCGCCCUUACAAAGUGUAGAUAUCCCAUCUUAAACCCACAACUGAAUCCUGAGCUAGAGGGGUGGCUUAAAAACCCCAUCUUGAAACCCCCUAUCACUAGAUAAUCUAACUCCCUGUACUUUCCACUCAGGAGCUUAAAAUGGUGUAGCCACAAGUGAUCCCAUUUUAACUAGACAAGAAUCCUAGGGGGCAGGUUGGAGAGCAGGUCAGGCUGGUGGCAGGAUGAUGGUGAUGGACCCUGUGAUGGACACUGAAAUGCACUGGUUAGAGAGGGUGCCAUAUGAUAAUUUCUAUUCAUGAUAGCUGGAAAUCAUAAAGAAAAUAAAGGCAACACCUUUAGUUAUUAAUUUCUAUGCAUUCAGGAUGCUUUCAGUGUACAAAUUAUUAUAUGGAAUAUGUUGCAUAUUCUCCCUACCUCUUCAGGUUAUUGUAAUUACUUUAGGUAGGAAAUACAGGACGCUGCCUAUCUCUGGCCCAUCUGUUUACACUGAUUAGGAGAGGAUUUCCAGCAUUUCAGAUACGUGGAAAAGCUGGAAUCUGAAUCUUGGACCUUCAGCAUAAUAAGCCUGUAUUCUGCCGGGUGAGUUGAUGUUUCUCCAAGCAAAGUUUGCUUCUAGACAAAGAAGUCUUAGCAUGAACAACUAGAAGGCCUUCCAUCUUUUCUUCCUUCAAGGAUUCUCCACAGUAAGAAAAAAGACGGGAAAAGUAAUUGGAAAACAUCGGAGGGCUGGGACUGGACCUCUCCAUAAAACUCAGUGAAGUACAGUGAUGGUGUGAUAAAAGCCUUGCCUGGAAGUUUGUGCUGGACAAACUAUAUAACCAUAUAUGUGAUUGGAAUAGAGAUAUGGAUGCAUUUAUUUCAACUCUAUAUUUGAUCUUCCAUAGAAUGGGGCACAAUUAGGUUAGAUUGAUAAAGUAAAAUAUAUUUAGAUGUGUAAGAACGUGAGUUACUGGACAAAAUAAAAAUCUAAUAAGUAAAUAAAUGAUCAGGACAUAGAACCACACAUUUCUUACCUAAUCUCAAUAUGAUUUCAUAAGCAAGUUGCUCUCUUUGCUGUUUUACAGAUGCGAUUUGAAGAUACUGACCCUUAACUGGGAAAGUUGACACCUUAGUAUAGAUUUGUUUGAAAAUAUUGCACUCAGACUCUUUGGCCGGAUAGUUCUUUUCCUAGCUCAGACUCAGUAUUGGUGUAUUUUGCAUCUGCAUAUUGUAAAUCAGCAAACAAACAAGGAACAGUUGAGAGGAGGCUUUAUAGCUGGAAACAUGCAAAGUUGACCUUUUGCUUUUGGUCACACUUCUCCCCGCACACUUGUGGUUCAAGUUCAAGGCAAACAUGAAACCACCACUAAUAGGAAGGCUCAUGAUAACACUGUUUAUGGUUAUAAUUUAUAUAUUCAGUGAACAAUUAAGAUUACUGUUCAUCACAGGCUAGUUUAUCCUAGGUUGCAAGACAGAAGUAGUAAUGAAAAAGUGGAGUUGUCACAUGAAACAGCCUUGAGAAAAUAUUCAGUGCACACUUAUUUGAUGUCCAAGACAACCAAACUUGAGACUGAUUUGCUGCCAACAUACAAAUGUGGCUGAAAACCCACCUUCUCAAGAAAAUCCUGGAAGAACUGCCCACUGGGACUUAAACCUCUAGGCAUGUGUAUAACUGAGCUGUGCUUUGUAUGCUUGGUGGGGAAGUGUCCAAAUUGGUAUAAAUUAGAUCUGGCCUCACCCUUUCUGUCCUUGGCCCUGUCCACUGCUAGGAUAUGCUCCCCUCCAGCCCUUUCUGACAUUGGAAUGCAGCGUCAGACCCAAAAAGUCUCACCCCUUUUCUCUGCAGCCUCAAGGCAUCAACGCUUAUUAUGAAGCACAACUAUCAGAGACAUCCAUGUACAUGGAACAUCUGUGCUGUUUUACUGGCAUGAUCAACUGAUGAUAUGAAGGAACUGCAGCACAAUCAGAAGCAGAUAAAAUCUGAGUAAAAUAGAUUUUCUCCAGCAAGUCAGCACUUGGGUGCAAGAAAACUAGAAUGAAUAGAAUCCUUGGUUUUGCACACGCCAACAUCAGAGUCAGCAUAAUCAUUCAGCACCAUUAGAAAGGUAGAUUCCAAACCAUGUAAUCUGAUUUCACACAGGUUAAAUUCUAGUCCAUCCCAGUAAUAUAGACUUCCUUCACUAGCUAACAAGAUUUAUUUUGGAAUUUUCUUAUAGGUAUAUUCACUAUUCAAAGCGCAAGUGCUAGAUGCUCACAAUGUCCUUUAAAUCUAACUUAAAUUAGGUUUAAAACUUAAACUGGCCUAGCAUUGCUUCUACAAGUGUGUGUGUGUGUGUGUGUGUGUGUGUGUGUGUGUGUGUGUGUGUGUGUGUGAAGCUCGGGAAUAGACCUCCCUUCUUAGCCAUGGCAAAAUUCUUUGUAGUUAUUACAUCACUUUAGCUGCCAGAAGUUAAAGCUGAAUCAUUCUUGACCUUUAAUCCUUAACAUGUGGACCAGAUUUUCUCUCUUUACAUUGCUUUAUAGCAGGGAUUCCAGUCACACUCAGUAAUGAGAUGGGAUGAAGAAAUCAAACCACACAACUCAAUGAAAUUUCAUUUCCCUCUCGAUGUGGAAAAGGUGACAAGUUUUCUACAGUAACUGACCCUCGCUUUGACCCUUUCAAGUCAAUGAUGACUAGCACACUCAAGCUCAAGCACUGGGUAAGAAUAAUAAGUUACAGGGAUGAUAAAAUAAAUACAGAGGUUAUACUAGAGUUAAAAGGGGGUGGGGAUGGAAAGAGAAUUCUAAACAUAUUGAACAGAGGGGAAUUAUAGAAUUCUGUAAUGACAUCUGCUUUAUGAACAUAUCUCAGUCGGGCAAAUGCCACAGAAGUGUCAAACCUCCUACUUUGGAAGAGGCCGGCAGACUAAAACUGCACUUGAGAAUAAUUUAUCUGUACCAGAUGCAAACUUGUAACAGGGGUCCCGUCCCAUAACUGGUCAAUUACCAAUGCCCUUCAGAAUCUAUGGCCUUCCCCUGGGAUCUGGUGUGAGUUCUGUGCCACCUAGGCCUCCGAGGUCUAACUCACAUGCAUGCUGUGAUUUGGAAGCAGUGGUUACUACUGUCCCUGGUGAUGUCAAAGCUUGUCCUCACCCUGCUGCCAGGCAAAUGCCAUGCUUAGUUGGCUUGUGUACAGAAAAUCCCUCAGGACCAACGAACUCCAUGUGCUUGUGGAUUCUCUCCCUAUCUCCCUAUUUAGAAGAGGAACCAGGCCAGCAGCACUCUAUUCGAUGCAUCCUUAAUCAGAAGUAAAGAGCCUCUUUCAGCCAGAGGGCCAGUUUCCAUUUUGGAUCAGCUUUCAGGGUGAAAUACCAGUGCUGGAUGGAGCCAAGGGAAAGGGGCUUGGGACACAAAAAUACCAACAUAUUCUAGCUUAAAAAUCUUCAUGGUAGGAACUAAGCAUUGCAAGAGGAAUUUAGACCUUUUAGGAUGGGAAAAAACAAAUGGAACAGAGGGGCAUGAUAAUCUACAAUUUUGCCUCUGUGUUUUCUUCCUGGUAAUGCCUAUAUAAACUAUCCCCCUGCUCUACCACCUGCUUGGCUCCUGAGAUGUACAGAAAGGAAACUUAAGGCACAACCCUGUGCAAGUUUGGAUGGAAAAAAGUGUCAGGACUCCCAGUGUAGCUGGCUGAGGCAUGCUCGAAGUGGUAGACUUUUUUCUGUCAAGCACUGCAUAGGAUUGUGCCUUUAGUGACCUUCUCAGCUGCAACCUGUCUAGACUGGGACAGCAAAUCUGAGAGCUUUAUAUGAACCAAUAAACCAGGACUGGCUCUAAUUCUGGGAGAGUGUUGGACUAGUACAUGUCACCCCCAGCUUAAACUACCUGCAAAGAGAGCCGUGGGCCAUAGGGCAGUAUAUAAAUGUAAUAAAUAAAUACAUAACAUCCCAUAAUCAGCCGAGGGUAUCAGAAUUGGACCUGACGGCACCUAUAGCACUGGACAACAUUUCUGGAAAAAAGGUUAUUUAAAGGGCUUGUCUUUCCCCAUGCUGGGCUUGAGAAGUAUACUAUAAUAGUAUGGAAAAAUCUAUAUGCAGCCUCCCUCUAAGCAGGAAGUUAGGAAACACCCUGUCCACCUAUGCCGUUUUCACUUACGAUCUACUACACCCAGCAUCACCUGUACACUCUUUUGCAUACAAACUUGUCACCUGCUGCAACCACAUGGUAGAUUAAAGGCAUGGAAGCGCUUGGUGCUUGGUACAUAUGUACAGCCACACAAUGUGAAUACAUGUGUGUACAUGCACGUACACUCAAAACCACACACACACACACACACACACACACACACACGGAACCAAUGCCUGUUUAAAAAUCUAUAUCCAGCAGAGGUCAGUUGAGAGCUGGAAGCAGAUUCUUUAGAGAUAAAGCAGGGAAUCCUGUGCAGAAAAGAUACAGGAAAGAGAUUUCAAAAUGCUCAAAAACUGAUUGGAAAAAUGAGAUGCCUGUUUGAGAAAUACAUCACUGAAUUUCAUCUUAAUGUGAAAUCUUAGGGCUGUCAACAAAACCUUGAAGUGAGAAACUCCCUGUGUUGUUCCUUGAAUUGCCUUUCGGUAUGAAACACACCUAUCGAUUGUGCAAGGCAGGUGUAUUUCUGGAAAAAGGGAUGGUGUUUAAUAACAGAUGACCCAAUGUGCCAACAUUUUACAAAAGUAGCAAGGACCAUGCAGAGACAAAAUACAGGCCACAAUCUAUAAAACUGUGUGGCCAGAGUGAUUCCUUUCAUUUCUCUUUUUCUCAAACAGCAGUGGUCCCUCGACUGAAUGGGAAACCAGGUGCAAGUGGAAGAAAUUUCAAAGGCACAUUAUGCAAAGCAAAUGUACUCUUGAACUGGGGAAAUGGGGGCUAGUGCUGUACUGUACUGAUUAGGAAGCUGCCGUACUCAGAGUCUAUACAACUCAUUACUGCCUACAUGGAGAGAUGCCUGUUUUUCCAAGGUUCCAAGGAAAAGGCUUUUUCCCAGCAUCACUUGAUAACGCCAGGGACUGAAGCCUCAGAAUUGUGCAUGCAGAACUGAGCCAUGAUCUCCCUGUUGCUCUGUGCUACCAUAAUGGUUUGCUGAUCUGCAUUUUAUCAGCACCACAGAGUAUGGCUAAAGAUGAUGUUGCAGCUAUCAGCUCUAUAGGCAUUUGGUGAGAAGGAGCCAAUAAAGUUGCUGAAUGCAGGAUGACCUGAUACUGGUAAGUCUGGCUUGUUUGAGCUCAAGGGAUUUUCUGCCCAUUUCUGAUUCAAGGAUCAGAAACAAGCCAAGCCGGGAGGGGAGGAUUUUCAUCUUUCAGUUGAGAAAUGAUUUGUGCAAUUAUUUUCCAGUACUAAGGGAAUUAGUGCUAAUCAUGCAAUUUGGGGAAAUUUUUGCCAUUUUGCAAUUCAUGUUUUUGUUUUGCCUGUUUUGCAUAGCUCUGAACCAGCAAAUGACAUAUACAGAUCUAGUGCAAUUUGCAUAAAUUCAGUGGAGUGGUGUAUAUCAGCAGCUGAAAAGCAUCAUCACUGAUUUUGCAAAAAUAAAAAACCCUCUCCUUUAAAAAGGUGUGUGGUGAUGUGGUGUUAAUGCAGGGCUGGUGAAAUGGAGUCGAGGAGACCAAAUCAUGAAAAUCUGUCACAUUCCAUAAUCCUUUCCUAUAUCUCCCUCCUCAGCCUGACCAUCCUAUUGGUCAGGUAAAGCCUGUGUUGUACAACUGUCUGUCCCUGUACAACUGCUUGGUUUCUGACCUGUUUCCCAACUCACCUCAAGUGCACAGCAGAGGGAGAGGGGGAGUGAGAGAGAGCUGCGGGGGUGGGGGGGAGAGAGAGACAGGCACGUCUAGAGGACAGUGACUCUCGUCCCAGUAUCUGGGCAUGCCUAAAGGAGCUCCUGAGCUUAUGACCCAAGUGCACAAUGGAACCCCAGUCAAAGAGCGAAAGCUUUGUUAAAGUGGUAGCACAUUCCAUUCAUUAGACAUCAGCUUCCCAAGACUGAAAUGAUCUAGUAUACUGAGCCAUUACCUCUACUUAAAUCACAAAUCACACAGGCUUUCUUCACAAAAUACACGCACACACCUUAGCAAUGUGGUGUGUUCCGAAAGAAAAAAGAUGCCAUGCAAUUAAGGCAGCUGCUGGUCAUGUAAAUAUGGCAGCCCCUGUCCCAGGUGGGAAGCAAAUGAGCAAAAGAUACUAUGGAUUAUGUUUGUUUAAAUAGCAAUGUCCAUUCUCCCCUCUUCUAUAGAAUAUAAGAGUGGUAAAACCAUCAGGAAGGUGAGUGGGCACCUGGCUGCACACAUAUCAUAUCCCUGCUGAAGCAGCUGCACUGGCUAUCCAUUAGUUACCAAGCCAAGUUCAAGCCUUUCCUGUUGAUCUAUAAAGGCCGGAACAGCUUGGUACCAAGUUUGCUGGUGCAGCCCCUUCCCUGGAACCAUGCUGUGUGGUCAUCAAGAUCACCACAGGAGACAUUGCUGGUUGUAAAGCAACCUGCAGAUCCCCAUCUUGUGACAACCCCUAAGCAAGUCUUCUCUGUGGUGGUGCCCACACCCAUGGAAUGGCCUCCUCUGAGCUCCUUAGGAGGCACAGCUCUGGCAUACUUAAAAUGCCAAUUGAAGAUCAAUGUCGGUGCUGUCCAGUUAGUCUGCUGAUAAUUGCUAUAUUUUCAGUCUGAAAUACGUUGAACAUUUAACCUGAUGAUUUACUGCAUUGUUUGCAAUUAUAUAUCUUAAUCCAUUUCUAUAAAUUGCUUCAAGAUAUGUUUGAUAUAGGAAGUGGCCCGAGCUUUCCUAGAAGUGAAAAUGGCAAGACUGAGGCUGCUGUACUUUGGGCACAUCAUGAGAUGGCAAGAUUCACUUCAGAUGACCAUCAAGAUAGGGAAAGGCAGAAGACAAAGUACGAGCUGGAUCAAACCCAUAAAGGAAGCUGUAGUUUCUUCUUUGGAAGAGCUGAAGGGAACUGUCAUGGGCGAGAUACUUUGGAGGGCUUUCAUUCCUAGGGUCGCUACAAGUUGGAGAUGAUUGGAUGGCACAUAAUAAUGACAACACGUGGCUGAACAAGUGACUGUCCAAAGAAAGGCCUCCUUUUGUGUAUAUCUGUCAGGACUUUUACAUCAUCUUUAGUGGUCUUCCUCCAGGUGCCCCACUGAAGUUAAGUGAAAGAAGCACCCCGUUUGUGAAUGGUUUCCCCAAGGGGGCUAACCUGCCACCUUCAUUACUAUCUUUUCAGGUGUGGGCAAAAACCUUCCUUCUUUUCCGGGCAUUUUAGAGACUUAGUUUUUAGAUUUUACAGAUGUUUUUAACAUUUUUAUAUUUCUCUGCUCUUGGACUGUUUGUCCUUUUGUAUUUUAUUCUUUUAACUGCACUUUUCUUUUUCUGCAUCGUUUAACUGCUUGUAAUUCACCCAGAGAAUUAUUUUAUUGAGCAGAUUUAAAGUAUCAUAAGUAAAUAGAUAAACUCCCAUUCCUGAAGUUAUGUCUGCAAUUAAUCAUUCCGAUUCACAAAAUUAAUUGGCAAAAGUCCAUAGGCUGUCAGUAAGGACAGAAAAUUGUUCCUUAUUUCAUUCAUUAGCAUUGCAUUUUUAUGCCAGGAUGGGAGAAAAGAUACUUGUGGCAUUUUCUGCCUAAGGUGCCAAAAUUACACGACUGACCUGGGCACUACACACGUCGAUUGCGGACCAAACACACAAUAUGCUGCUCCACUUCAGGAAGCGAAAUACCUUAGAUAACCCAGGGAGGGGUAGCAAAACUAGGAAUGGGGAGGAUAAGGGCCUUUGCUGAUAAAGAUAUGAUAUGGGUGGCUCACUAGGGCUGGAGCCCUGAAUCUCUGGAAGGCCAUCUGCCCCACAGCCCAGUUCUCUAUGGUCUGAAAUAAAGUCCUCCUGCUGUCUUUGCUUGGACAUUUAUUUAUUCAUUUAAACCUUUUCUAUGCUGCCCCAUUCCCAAAAAGCCUCAGGGCAGCUUACAACAUAAAAAAAGACAUGACACGCCUCCUGCUGCCUCCCCCAAAUGGGGUCAUUUAAACAGACGUUGCCACAUAUGUAAAUUAGCAUAGGUAAAUUUGCAUUUUUGUCCUGUGCAACCGGACAAAAGACUUUCCAAGUAUCUAGCGCUGCUCCUGUGAUAAAGUGUGCCCUAUUUUGCAUUGUGGCAAAAAAGUAAAACGUUAAUGACGAAAGAGAUGACAAAACUGAGAUAAAAUUAAAAUAAAACUAAGCAAAGCACUAGAAAUGUGAAUGGUGACAUUCCUUAGGAGUUCAGCUUUCAGUACAAUGAAGCACUGAUUUGUCACAUUUCCUGGACUGAAAGCUUGUUUUAUGAACCAGAUGAAUUUUUAUGAGGCCUAUAGGAACCCUACAUGCUGUCUGGAUCAACAACAAACCGAGAAGGAUUACCCAAUGUCCUGCAGUCUGGAUUGUUCUGUUCCAUAGACUCUCCCAUCCAGUGGCCCCAUAUGUAAUGGACAGCCAUGAAUAAGGAGGGAAUCCAUCUGCGGCCUUAAUGGUUGGAGGGGCAGAGGUGUACCAGGAGUCAGAACUUUGGAAAGCUGUGAAGGAGGACGAGAGCUGUGUCCAAAUGAAAGCAAAUGCAGAAUGGCUUUUGUGACAAGAGUCACUAGAGAAAGUAUUGGUGCCCAUUAGAGACAUGGAGGAAGUUCACGUGGCAAGGUCAAGUAAGUUUCUGAAUAGGGGUGAGGUGGUGAUGGGGAGAAGAAGGGGAAGGCAGAGAAAGGAUUGCAAGUAUGGCAUUCAGUCCACCUUUGGGCAACCACUUCUCUAAAUGGAGGAGUUUCUGAGUCAGACCACUGGUCUAUCUAGCCAAGUAUGGUCAGCACUGACUGGCAGCAGUUCUCCAGGGAAAGGAUCUUUCCUGAAGAUCCUAGGGGCUGGACCUGAGGCCUUCUGCUAGCAAAGGAGGUGCUCUGCCACUGAAAUAUGGCCUCCUGUUUAUGCGGAAGGGUAAAAAUGGAGGACAAACUUCUGAAGACUAUGCACUGAGGUUCCUCAGAAAUGUGAUGUGGCAGCCAUGGACAUCUGGUACAUUUGUUUACUCAAUUUACAUAUAAAGCAAGAAGGUAAACUAUGACCGACUUUUACAUGAGGAAAGCAACAACGUCUCUCCACUACACACUAUCAUCCCGUCUCUCUGCAACUUUCUCUUGCUUUUGGUAUCUGAACAGAACUGCUUAAAGCAGAAGGCUGUAGAAAAACCUGCUGGGAUUUCAACUUCCCUUUUCGUAGAAUCUACCCAUUUCUGUUCUGUAUAAGAAUGGGACAGACAAAUGCCCCAUGGCAUCUAGUUUGGCCCCAAGAAGCCUGAAUAAUGGGGAAAAGGGCAGCUUCUCAUCACAACUUAUCUUCCCCUGUGGCCAUGGAGAAAGGUAGGAUAUGUUCCAUGCAUAUUCCCAGUAUAUCAAGAUCCUGUGUGAGGGUGCAGAACCUUCUGCGACAUUAUGAGGUUUCAGGGCAGAUGGACAAGAGUUCUUCAGUGGUGAAGCCCAUUUGAGAAUGGGUCCCUGAAAGGAUGCCUUGAAAACUACCAGCUGGGAGGUUAACUGAACCAACAUGGCAGAAGAUGGUGGCCCCAUCUUGAGCAUUCUUUCAACAGUUGGGCAAAGUAUAUUUCUGUUGGCAACUUUUGCCCUGCUAAGUUUCUGAUGUUUUAUUUGAAGGUUGUGUUCAUCUGUGGCUUGUCUGCCUUGCAUUUUAUUGAAUAUACUGUUUUAUAUGGUACCAUUAAAAAUGUUAGAAGACCCAAGAGCGGCACAAAGACACUGAAGAAUCAGAUAGAAAUUUGUAUAUAAACACCAAUGAAUAACUAUGCGUGAAAUGUGGUUCUGCAAUAUAUGGUUCAGCUACCACAUCUCUACCCUUCCUGAAUUAAAACUAAUGUAGUUCUUUUUCUAUUGUUCUGGAAAUCCUUUAUAAAGCAAGGACAUAAAAGUAUGUUAUGAUGGAUCCUAUCACUGGUCUAUACGUUUCCAUGCUCUUGAGGCAUCUGCCUACUGUAGGAAUCCAGCCACCCUCUCUACAUGGUCAGAAGGCUUGCUGAAGACCAUAUUCUGGAACAAAAAACAGGCAGCACAAGCCCUCCUGCCUAGGGGACUGAACUUUCCUUUGCUCCCCUAGUUUUCUCUCAAGCCAUCCAUGGAAACUACACUAUGAAACCACUGAAUGGUAGUUAUGAAGUUCAUGCUUUAUCAACUGUAGCUUUGAGUGACGCUUGUUUCCAACACAUUAUGUGUUAAGUGGUUUACCAAUGCAAGGAUGUCUACAUUGCCAUCCACAAUUUUGGGGAUGGCUACUGUUUUUAUUUAUUUAUUUAUUUAUUAAAACAUUUUUAUGCCGCCCCAUUCGCCGAAGCCUCGGGGCGGCUCACAUCAAGAAUGUUAAGAAUGCCACGAUCACUGACUGUUCUUAUUCUCUGUGUAUAAUGCCAGCAACACAGGAUAAUACUUCAUGCAUUUCGUGGAAUGAAUUACAGUGCACAGACGUUUAGCCAUAAUAAAAGGCUCUUAAGGUAUCAUAAGACUCUGUUUUAAAGGCAAGACUGAAUUAUGACAGUACAGUCAACUUUCUCCCUUAUGUUCCUGCCCGAUUGCUAAAAUCACCUUUGGAGGCUCUCUUACAGUGGUGUAACAGGUGGCUACUCAGGAACAAGCCAUUUCCCCACCUCUGCCUAUGGGAUGCCGUGACCAGGAAGAUCACUGUUGGCCUCACUGCAUACAUUUAGACCCAUGCAAAGACCUUCCUCUUCUAAAAACAGAGAAUAUGUUGCUUCAAUGAUUAACUAUAUGGCAAGCUAAUCAUGAAAGCUAUUUAAUGUGUUAAUAUUUAGGGAUUUUUUACUGUUGCAUUUAUUUAUUUAUUUAUUUAUUUAUUUAUUUAUUUAUUUAGAGAAUUUCUAUGCCGCCCCAUUCGCCGAAGCCUCGGGGCGGCU